rnacentral:rRNA from 1 species
UUGCACCUACCAAUUGAAUGGUCCGGUGAAGCCUCAGGAUUGUGUCCCCUGCUAUUCAGUUAGUGGGAGCCGCAAGAACUUGUCCAAACCUUAUCAUUUAGAGGGAGGUG